ACUUUCAACAACGGAUCUCUUGGUUCUGGCAUCGAUGAAGAACGCAGCAAAAUGCGAUAAGUAAUGUGAAUUGCAGAAUUCAGUGAAUCAUCGAAUCUUUGAACGCACAUUGCGCCCGCCAGUAUUCUGGCGGGCA
rnacentral:rRNA from 1 species